CGCCCUUAUCAUUCCUGUCUGGAGCUGAGAGCAGAGGAUGGAUCCGAGGGUGGGGAACUGCAUGCAGACACUGACCCCCCCAUCCUUACCCUGAGGCCCAGACAGCUCAAGGACAGGAUGGACAGAUUCGAAGAGACCUAGGCAGUCACCUACCCUAGAGAGGCCCAGACACUGAACAGCCCUAGAGGAGGAAGAAUGCUAACUAGCAUUAACGUUUGCCAAGCAUGGCAUAGAUAUUACCUCUUUGGAGCCUCACAGGCACCUGGGAGGUAAGUGCUGUAAUUAUCCCUAGUUUAGAAAUGAGGAAACUGAGGCAGGCAAAUGAAGUGUUGCCCAGGCUGACCUGGUUAGGGAGUGAGGCUGCAUUCGAACUCAGGGCUUCUGACUCCAUCCUGUAGCUCUCUCCACUAUAGUCACACAGACAUGUAUGCCAACAGGUCCCUUUCACCCUAAAUCUGUGAUCCAGAGUAUCAUGUAAACACAGGUACCCUCUGUGUGUGUGGCUGGGGCCCCCUUCCCCCAAUCUCUCAAGUUGACAUCUCCCUCUCCUCACCUUGGGGACUCAGGCACCUUCCCUAAGUUUCCCUGAUUUGGGGGUGUUCUCAGAACUCUGCCCCUCCCGAGUGUGCUCUAACCCACCCCUCCCAUGAUCUCUUCCAGGUGCCUGAGGCUCGCUCCCUAGGCCAGGGAGAUGGGUAGGAGGGGUAGGACAGGCCCUGCCCUCCCCACCAUCCCUCAUGUGGUUCUUCUGGGCCUUCCUUGUGCUGGUUCACCCUCUGGGGGGCCCUCCUCUGGGGCCCCCCAGCUGCCCUUGGGAGCCCUUUGAGGUUCUUACAGCUGUCAUGGAGGCCAUAGGCAACAGAAAUGAUGGCAUCCUUUAUACUCCGGACAGUCUCUCUACAGGUGAUGACACGUUGCUGCUCUCCUCAUCCCGAUGAGGCACCUUCUACCUUCCUGCUUCUGCCUUUAGGAUUCCUGAAGUUCCCCCUCCCUCCCACCCCUCCCCAGGCCAUGUCCAGCCCCUGGCACUUGGCUGGGCACCGAGUUGGCAUUUAUAUGUUUAUCAAAUAAAUGAAUCAAAAUCAGGAAGUGAUUGAUCUAUAAACAACAUUCUAAGGGCACAGGGAGGCUUGUGAAAUACUUAAUCGAUCUGGACCUUGCUGCCAGUUGGGUGACCCCUUCUACAUAACCUGGAACUGGAUAGAUUUUUCCUCCCAUAUCCUGCCCCUCUCCCCAACCUGAGACCCAGUCUCAUGACCUUGCAGUGAGAGCUGCUUCCUAGCCUGAAUCCCCAAUGACCUCUGCUUCCCACCAAACCCCAUGUAUCUUGCAGAGACUGCUGGCCAGGGGAAGCCUUCCUAAGUCCAGCUUUGAGGCUGGACACUCCUUCCCCGUUUAGAAGCUUUCCAUGGCUUCCCAUUGCCUACUGUCUCAGGCUUUUCAGUGUCACUGCCUAGAUCCCUUGUGAUCCGACCUCUUCCAUCC
rnacentral:lncRNA from 1 species